rnacentral:ribozyme from 1 species
UAGAAAUGCAUCACUGGUACGGAUACGAAACCGACUCCUCUUGCAGGCUACUUAGGCUCUUUGUACCCUACUCCUGCUCAAAACGUCCACGACCUAAAGAACGGUAACAUGUUACUCCACAUAUCUGAGCAUGGAUACACGGGGAAACCCAACCCCUUAGGAAGAUGGAUGAUAUGGCUAAUUUGAGAGAG